rnacentral:tRNA from 1 species
UCCCUGGUGGGCCAGCGGUUAGCACUCAGAACUUUCACUGCUGAGGACCCAGGUUCAAUCCCUGGUCAGAGAA